rnacentral:misc_RNA from 1 species
UGUGUUGCUUACCAAUCGAAAGGAAUUCGGNCGUGUUGUUGCCCCUUUCCGCCCGAUGCCCUCUGUGGGUGUGGGGUGGACGCCAGGCACGUUACGUGUUCCUCGCAUGCCUCGCCCUGUUGCGACGCUGUAGAGGCCCAUGGAGCUGUUGCCCGUUCCCUCGGAUGCGGAAUNUCAUGCAUGGGUGGGGGGUCUAGGCCCCUGCCUGCCCAAGCUAUGCAUUUGUCCCUUGACACGAACGAUUGUCGCGGCCGUCUUGAUCCCGUCGUAGCACACGUGNUGGACGGGGNCUCAUGCGGUCGUCGGCGUCGUCGAGGAAUGCUACCUGGUUGAUCCUGCCAGUAGUCAU